rnacentral:lncRNA from 1 species
CUGACAAAUCUGCACAUAAACGGAUGAUUGUACUAGGUUCUACGCGUCGAGAGCUUCGUUUUGACUAUUUAUACGCCUCCAUCGGAUUCCAAUAACGCCUUCAAAUCCUCGUUUGAUUAUGAAGAACACGAAGAACACCCGUUCGUUUUCUCUCGGUAUUCGUGCAGAGAAACUGGCGAAAUGAUUGUACGCGCAAAAUAAACUG